UUUCUUGGAUAAUUUUAAGUGGUUUCGACUCCUGCAGUUUUCUUGCAACGUUAUGGAGUCGAUAAAGCUUUAUUUUAACACUAUUUCCAAUUCUACUUCUAAUUCAUAUCAGUGGCGUGGCGAAAUUAAAAUUUUUGAUUGAAUCGCUCGUUGUGGUUGACUACUCACCCAAAUUUAUUCGACAGCUAAGAAAAAAAAUACAAUCCUUGAAUUUGUGAAUAUUAUAGGUAUAGGCGCAAAUAAGGUAACUUGAGAAUUAUUCCAUUGCAUAAUACAUCCAUGGAUAGACCCCUAAAAAUGUGUAAAAUGUUUAUGUCUCCCUCGGAAUUGAUAUAUCUAUAGUCUUAACAUAAAUAUGCCCUCUCAAACUUUUGUCCCUAUUUAAGUUAACAUUCUAUCUAUGAAAUUUCACUUUUUGAACACCUUUCAGUAGCACAUUGUG